AAGUCGUAACAAGGUUUCCGUAGGUGAACCUGCGGAAGGAUCAUUAUCGUACAACUGAGGCACAAGGGCUGUCGCUGACUUUUCGUCGUGCACGCCCAAGUGCUCUCAAACAUCCAUCUCACCCCUAUGUGCACCACCGCGUGGGUCCCCCUUUGGCUUGUCCCGAGGGGGGCUCGCGUUUUCACACAAACUCGAUACAGUAUAGAAUGUCUUUAUUUUGCGGUAACACGCAAUUAAUACAACUUUCAACAACGGAUCUCUUGGCUCUCGCAUCGAUGAAGAACGCAGCGAAAUGCGAUACGUAAUGUGAAUUGCAGAAUUCAGUGAAUCAUCGAAUCUUUGAACGCACCUUGCGCCCCUUGGCAUUCCGAGGGGCACACCCGUUUGAGUGUCGUGAAAUUCUCAAAACCCUUUCUUUUAAGGAUUUUGGACUUGGAGGCUUUUUGCUGGUUUCACAUUGAAGCGAGCUCCUCCUAAAUGGAUUAGUGGGGUCUGCUUUGCUGAUCCUUGACGUGAUAAGAUGCUUCUACGUCUUGGGUUUGGCACUGUCCAUCGGGCACCUGCUUCUAACCGUCUCAUCGACAAUGAUGGUGCUCCGGUCACCACCGUUUCAUCGGUGGGAGGCUUGACCCACCAAAAAAAACCUUGACCUCAAAUCGGGUGAGACUACCCGCUGAACUUAA
rnacentral:rRNA from 1 species